rnacentral:rRNA from 1 species
AGGAAAUAACAACUCUAGGAUUUCUUAGAAGUGUAAUGAGGAUAAUUUACAAACCUUACCGAAUGCAAGUUGGAGGGCAAGUCUGGUGCCAGCAGCCGCGGUAAUCCAGCUCCAAUAGCGUAUAUUAAAGUUGUUGCAGUUAAAAAAGCUCGUAGUUGAAGUUCUGAUUGCUCAGGUUUCCAGCCUUAGGCGGAGAUACUGACAGUCAUCCGCUUGCAAACAUAUGUUCGAUCUUCACCGGUUGGCUAUGUGAGUAAGCACUUUACCUUGAGAAAAACAGAGUGUUCCAGGCAGGUUUGUCCGGGAUGCAUUAGCAUGGAAUAAUAGAACAUGACUGAAGUCGAUUUAUUGGUUUAAGGCUUUAGUAAUGAUUAAUAGGAACAGUCGGGGGCAUUCGUACUCAGCAGUCAGAGGUGAAAUUCUAAGAUUUGCUGAAGACGAACUAAUGCGAAAGCAUUUUGCCAAGGAUGUUUUUCAUUAAUCAAGAACGAAAGUUAGGGGAUC